rnacentral:rRNA from 1 species
AAACCGACACAGGUGGUCAGGAUGAGAAAUCUAAGGCGGACAGGCUAACUCUCGUUAAGGAACUCUGCAAAAUAACCUCGUAACUUCGGGAGAAGAGGAGCCCUUGAGGGUCAGUAUCCACGCGAUACAAAGCGCUCGAGGGUCGCAGUGAAGAGGCUCAAGCAACUGUUUAACAAAAACACAGGUCUAUGCUAAGCUGGAAGGCGAUGUAUAUGGGCUGACACCUGCCCAGUGCUGGAAGGUUAAGAGGAGGAGUGAGAGCUCCGAAUUGAAGCCCCAGUGAACGGCGGCCGUAACUAUAACGGUCCUAAGGUAGCGAAAUUCCUUGUCGGGUAAGUUCCGACCUGCACGAAUGGUGUAAUGAUUUGAGCGCUGUCUUGACGGGAGGCCUGGUGAAAUUGUAUUACCGGUGAAGAUACCGGUUACCUACAGUAGGACGGAAAGACCCCAUGGAGCUUUACUGUAGCUUGGUAUUGGGUUUUGGCAUUGCAUGUAUAGGAUAGUUGGGAGACUGUGAUGAUAUGGCGCUAGCUGUAUCGGAGUCAUCGGUGGAAUACCAACCAUUCAAUGCUGAAAUUCUAAUCUGUGGUUUGUAGCCACGGAGACAGUGCUAGGUGGGCAGUUUGACUGGGGCGGUCGCCUCCGAAAGAGUAACGGAGGCGUUCAAAGGUUCUCUCAGGUUGGAUGGAAAUCAACCAUAGAGUGCAAUGGCAUAAGAGAGCUUGACUGCAAGACUGACGGGUCGAGCAGAUGCGAAAGCAGGACAUAGUGAUCCGGCGAUUCCGAAUGGAAGGGUCGUCGCUCAACGGAUAAAAGCUACCCUGGGGAUAACAGGCUGAUCCUACCCGAGAGUCCAUAUCGACGGUAGGGUUUGGCACCUCGAUGUCGGCUCAUCGCAUCCUGGGGCUGGAGAAGGUCCCAAGGGUUGGGCUGUUCGCCCAUUAAAGCGGUACGUGAGCUGGGUUCAGAACGUCGUGAGACAGUUCGGUCCCUAUCCACUGUAGGCGUUAGAAUAUUGAGAAGACCUGUCCUUAGUACGAGAGGACCGGGAUGGACAAACCUCUGAUGUACCAGUUGUCACGCCAGUGGCACAGCUGGGUAGUCACGUUUGGAAUAGAUAACCGCUGAAAGCAUCUAAGCGGGAAACUAACUUCAAGAUAAGUAUUCUUUAAGAUACCUUCGAGCCUAGGAGGUUGAUAGGUUGG